rnacentral:rRNA from 1 species
CGUCUAGGCGGGGGAAUUAAGUUAGGUGUGAAAUCCAUGGGCUCAACUCGUGAAUUGCAUCUAAAACUGGUUCUCUUGAGUUCGGGAGAGGAGAGCAGAAUUCCUGGUGUAGCGGUGAAAUGCGUAGAUAUCAGGAGGAAUACCAGUGGCGAAGGCGGCUCUCUGGCCUAGGACUGACGCUGAAGCGCGAAAGCGUGGGGAGCGGAACG